CGGUCUGGACAAUCGCUGCUUUUAGUAGAGGAAAGUCCAUGCUCGCACGAGCUGCGAUGCUCGUAGUGAUUGCGCUAGCGGAAAAAAUAACGCUAGGUACGUAGGAGUACGUAACGGCGGGAGGAUACCUAAAGGAAACCAUGGUCGAAUCCCUGAAAGUGCCACAGUGACGUAGUUUAUUAGAAAUAAUAAAGUGGAACGCGGUAAACCCCACA
rnacentral:RNase_P_RNA from 1 species